GUGGGUAACCUGCCCUGUACACACGGAUAACAUACCGAAAGGUAUGCUAAUACGGGAUAAUAUAUGAGAGUCGCAUGGCUUUUGUAUCAAAGCUCCGGCGGUACAGGAUGGACCCGCGUCUGAUUAGCUAGUUGGUGGGGUAGUGGCUUACCAAGGCUUUGACGGGUAGCCGGCCUGAGAGGGUGACCGGCCACAUUGGGACUGAGAUACGGCCCAG
rnacentral:rRNA from 1 species